rnacentral:rRNA from 11 species
CUUUUGCACCAUACUACCCUGAACAUGCCCGAUCUUUUCUGAUGUUGGAAGCUAAGCAGGAUCAGUUCUGGUUAAUACUUGAAAGAGAGAAUAACAGAGAUCUCCAUAUAGGACUAAAGA